CGUUUCUUUUAGAAGGUGGGGAGUAGAGUGAGUGAACUGCGGCUGGGAAGUGCUUACCUUGGAGGGAAUUUAACGGGUAGAUAGGGAGCUAGCUAACGCCGCGCCGGUGCUGCUGGGUCUGUCUUAACAACCACCACCACCGCCGUCUCUAGGCUGUAUGGGAUCCGCUCUGUCGUUGCUGGGACUCGGCUUGAGCUAGCAGGCUUCCCCCCCCCCUCCUCCUCCUUCUACUACCACCGCCUCUCUGUCUCACACGCUUAUCUAGAGAGUGAGAAAGCGUGGAUAUCUGGAUGUUUAGAGGUUUAGACAGAGCUCCAGAGUGCUAGUAGCUAAAGAGAGGGGUAGCGGAGGAGAGAGGUGACUGUUAGAGUGUGUAACGGUCAUCUGGGACGGGCAUUAUUCAGAGAGCUCCUCGGCGGCGGAGGACUGUGGGCUGCUGCUGCUUUUCCUGGCUGGACUGAAGAGACAUUUUCAGCUCGUCCGCUGUAGGUCUGCUCUCCGAGGGGGAGGAGGAGCUGGAGAAGGUCGGGGGAAAGCGGAAUGCGACUUUUUCGACGUUUCUGAGCUUUUGUGGGCUUUCUGAAAAAGGAAAAAGGACGCGUAAACUGACACGACAGCUCCAUAAAGGUCCUGCUGCUGCUACUGGAUCCCCCUCAUCAGGACCCACCCUUGACUCUGCAGGUAUGUUCACAUUAACCCAUAAAGUCGUUUUGGAUGUUUUCACACCUGAGAGUCCAGAUUCUGAACC
rnacentral:lncRNA from 1 species